rnacentral:rRNA from 1 species
GGAUCAGACGUGAUUACCCGCUGAACUGCAUGC